CUGAGGGAUUCCCAGCAGCCCUUGGCCCCGUCCGGCCACUGGGGGGCUGUCUCACUUGCUCACACCCACCCGCAGGUUUCAGCACCUGCACAGCCUCAGAACGAGAGUGGGGGUGGAUGGAGAGGUGGUCCCUGCCUCAGUGGGGAAAACAGACGAGGCGGCUGGAGACUGGCUGCAGCAUCCCCCAGGGCAGAAUGAAGAGGGGGACAGUGGGGCAACCUGCGUGGACGCCCUUAGGCAUGGUUGGCCUUCUCUUCACUUCCCUGGAAGCCUUCGAAGCCAGGACCCAUGUUGAUGCCCCAUUUUCAUCCUCCCAAGAAGCGUGUGCUGCCUGUCAGGAGAACCAGCCCCUUGGACGGCAGCUGUUCUUAUCACGGGACAGAAAUCAGCAGAAGAAUCACUCUUUCUCGCCACUGAGAGCAAAUAAAGAUGGCCUUGGCAGAAAUACGUGCUAGGAUCACUGGCUUUUGUGUGUGGGUGGGUGGC
rnacentral:lncRNA from 1 species